rnacentral:rRNA from 1 species
GAGUUUGAUCCUGGCUCAGAUUGAACGCUGGCGGCAGGCCUAACACAUGCAAGUCGAGCGGUAGAGAGAAGCUUGCUUCUCUUGAGAGCGGCGGACGGGUGAGUAAUGCCUAGGAAUCUGCCUGGUAGUGGGGGAUAACGCUCGGAAACGGACGCUAAUACCGCAUACGUCCUACGGGAGAAAGCAGGGGACCUUCGGGCCUUGCGCUAUCAGAUGAGCCUAGGUCGGAUUAGCUAGUUGGUGAGGUAAUGGCUCACCAAGGCGACGAUCCGUAACUGGUCUGAGAGGAUGAUCAGUCACACUGGAACUGAGACACGGUCCAGACUCCUACGGGAGGCAGCAGUGGGGAAUAUUGGACAAUGGGCGAAAGCCUGAUCCAGCCAUGCCGCGUGUGUGAAGAAGGUCUUCGGAUUGUAAAGCACUUUAAGUUGGGAGGAAGGGCAGUAAAUUAAUACUUUAGCUGUUUGACGUUACGACAGAAUAAGCACCGGCUAACUCUGUGCCAGCAC